AAGCUCGUAGUUGAAUUUCGGGGUUAGUAGGUUGGUCAUGCCUCUGGUAUGUACUGAUCUCACUGAUUCCUCCUUCCUUAUGAACCGUAAUGCCAUUAAUUUGGUGUUGCGGGGAAUUUGGACUGUUACUUUGAAAAAAUUAGAGUGUUUAAAGCAGGCUAACGCUUGAAUACAUUAGCAUGGAAUAAUGAAAUAGGACGUUCGAUCCUAUUUUGUUGGUUUCUAGGAUUGACGUAAUGAUUAAUAGGGAUAGUUGGGGGCAUUAGUAUUCAAUUGUCAGAGGUGAAAUUCUUGGAUUUAUUGAAGACUAACUACUGCGAAAGCAUUUGCCAAGGAUGUUUUCAUUAAUCAAGAACGAAAGUUAGGGGAUCGAAGACGAUCAGAUACCGUCGUAGUCUUAACCAUAAACUAUGCCGACUAGGGAUCGGAUGAUGUUAAUUUUUUAAUGACUCAUUCGGCGCCUUACGGGGAACCAAAGUGUUUGGGUUCCGGGGGGAGUAUGGUCGCAGGGCUGAAACUUAAAGGAAUUGACGGAAGGGCACCACCAGGGGUGGAGCCUGCGGCUUAAUUUGACUCAACACGGGGAAACUCACCAGGUCCAGACAUAGUAAGGAUUGACAGAUUGAGAGCUCUUUCUUGAUUCUAUGGGUG
rnacentral:rRNA from 1 species